rnacentral:rRNA from 1 species
UACGUAGGGUGCAAGCGUUAAUCGGAAUUACUGGGCGUAAAGCGUGCGCAGGCGGUGAUGUAAGACAGGUGUGAAAUCCUCGGGCUUAACCUGGGAACUGCAUUUGUGACUGCAUCGCUGGAGUGCGGCAGAGGGGGGAUGGAAUUCCGCGUGUAGCAGUGAAAUGCGUAGAUAUGCGGAGGAACACCGAUGGCGAAGGCAAUCCCCUGGGCCUGCACUGACGCUCAUGCACGAAAGCGUGGGGAGCAAACAGG